rnacentral:rRNA from 1 species
GAUGAACGCUGGCGGCGUGCCUAAUACAUGCAAGUCGAGCGAACAGACGAGGAGCUUGCUCCUCUGACGUUAGCGGCGGACGGGUGAGUAACACGUGGAUAACCUACCUAUAAGACUGGGAUAACUUCGGGAAACCGGAGCUAAUACCGGAUAAUAUAUUGAACCGCAUGGGUCAAUAGUGAAAGACGGUUUUGCUGUCACUUAUAGAUGGAUCCGCGCCGCAUUAGCUAGUUGGUAAGGUAACGGCUUACCAAGGCAACGAUGCGUAGCCGACCUGAGAGGGUGAUCGGCCACCCUGGAACUGAGACGCGGUCCAGACUCCUACGGGAGGCAGCAGUAGGGAAUCUUCCGCAAUGGGCGAAAGCCUGACGGAGCAACGCCGCGUGAGUGAUGAAGGUCUUCGGAUCGUAAAACUCUGUUAUUAGGGAAGAACAAAUGUGUAAGUAACUAUGCACGUCUUGACGGUACCUAAUCAGAAAGCCACGGCUAACUACGUG